AAUGAACGUUGGCGGCGUGGAUUAGGCAUGCAAGUCGAGCGAGAAGUCCUUUCGGGGACGGAAAGCGGCAAACGGGGUAGUAAGGCGUAGGUUACGUGCCCUCGGGACCGGGAUAGCUGCGGGAAACUGCAAUUAAUACCGGAUGAUCUCUCAGGAGCAAAGGGUGUGAUUCCGCCAGAGGAGCGGCUUACGUGAUACUAGCUAGUUGGUGAGGUAACGGCUCACCAAGGCAAAGAUGUCUAGGGGGUGUGAGAGCAUGACCCCCACCACUGGGACUGAGAUACUGCCCAGACACCUACGGGUGGCUGCAGUCGAGAAUCUUCGGCAAUGGGCGAAAGCCUGACCGAGCGACGCCGCGUGCGGGAUGAAGGCCCUUGGGUUGUAAACCGCUGUCAGAGGGGAUGAAAUUCCAUAGAGCUAUCUCUACGGAUUGACAGAGCCUCAGAGGAAGCACGGGCUAAGUACGUGCCAGCAGCCGCCG
rnacentral:rRNA from 1 species